GCGGGAAAUGGAACAAAAAGCUGCUGAAUUGGCCUAUUUCUUGCGUGUACCAAUUGAAGUAUUUUAAGAAAUGAGUCGAUAAAUGAAUGCUUUCAGUUCGGAUUGCAAGCUGCAACUCGCCUGCAUGAAGCUGGAAUCGCUAGUAAUCGCCGGUUAGCCAUACGACGGUGAAUCCGUUCCCAGGCCUUGUACACACCGCCCGUCACACUAUGGGAACUGGCCAUGCCCGAAGUCGUUACCUUAACCGCAAGGAGGGGGAUGCCGAAGGCAGGGCUAGUGACUGGAGUGAAGUCGUAACAAGGUAGCCAUACUGGAAGGUGCGGCUG
rnacentral:lncRNA from 1 species